rnacentral:rRNA from 1 species
UACGAGUGCUCCAAGCGUUAUCCGGAAUCAUUGGGCGUAAAGGGCGCGUAGGUGGUUGUGUUAGUCUUCUGUCAAAUUCUUCGGCUUAACCGGGGGUCCGCAGAGGAAACUGCACAACUAGAGGAUGCGAGAGGUACAUGGAACUCAUGGAGUAGGGGUGAAAUCCGUUGAUAUCAUGGGGAACACCGAAAGCGAAGGCAAUGUACUGGCGCGCUCCUGACACUGAGACACGAAAGCGUAGGUAGCGAAUGGG